UGAAGAACACGAGAUCUCAGAAAUUUUGAGAAAAGGUGAAAUAAUCGAUUAAGGUGAAAUAAUUCCAAGCACAUUCGCGCUCUCCUCGCUCGGCGCCACAGCUCCGUGAAGCCGAAUGAAGCCUCCAUACCUGAAGGCAGCGAGUGUGAGAUUGGGCUGGAUAAGAGCUUCGGCUUCGCCAAACAGUUCUCGGUCCAUUACGAGCUCGGCGAAGAAGUGGGCCGCGGCCAUUUCGGCUACACCUGCUCCGCCAAGUCCAAGAAGGCCCCCCUCAAAGGCAUCGACGUUGCCGUCAAAGUCAUUCCAAAAUCCAAGAUGACUACAGCAAUUGCCAUUGAGGAUGUAAGGAGAGAAGUGAAGAUAUUGCGGGCUCUAACUGGACAUAAGAAUCUGGUGCAAUUCUAUGAAGCCUAUGAAGAUGAUGAAAAUGUUUUUAUAGUUAUGGAGUUAUGCAAAGGAGGGGAAUUGCUAGAUAGGAUUCUUUCCAGGUAAUGAUGUUUGUCAAUUUGCCUUUUUCUGUGCCACAAGUUUCAGUCGUAUGACAU